rnacentral:tRNA from 1 species
CCUACCCCUAGGAGAUCAAAACCCCUCGUGCAUCCGCUACACCACUUUUUAA